UACGUAGGGGGCUAGCGUUGUCCGGAAUCAUUGGGCGUAAAGCGCGUGUAGGCGGUCCGGUAAGUCCGCUGUGAAAGUCGAGGGCUCAACCCUCGAAUGCCGGUAGGAUACUGUCGGGCUUGAGUACGGGAGAGGCGAGUGGAAUUCCUGGUGUAGCGGUGAAAUGCGCAGAUAUCAGGAGGAACACCGAUUGCGAAGGCAGCUCGCUGGAACGUUACUGACGCUGAGACGCGAAAGCGUGGGGAGCAAACAGG
rnacentral:rRNA from 1 species